UUUUUUAAAAAAAAAAAGAUGCGUCUGCGAGUACCACUGACAGCUUUUCUUUUUGUCGUUCAUAUCCGUUUAUACCGGACCAAACAUCUGCAAAGUGAUAGCACAGCAAAUCUACCACAAUUCGUAAUUUUGAUAACAGGGCAAACAAAAUGAAGACGUGUUUCACUUGUUGAUACGAGACGCCAAAUGCUUAUCAAUGGACGAAAGGGAGAACAACACAUUCGUUUGGCGUUGUGGUUUUAAUCUCAAAAGGAUGAAAGAGAAAGCUGUCCGCUUUGUGUAAUCAAAUCAUAUUGCUGUUAGGCUGUGGUUAGGUCAUUAAGCUUUUCAUAAUCGAUAAUUUUCAUACUCAAAUUAUCAUCUUUAGGGAGCAAUGGACGUUAAUGUGACAAUCUAGAAUCAAUUAAAAUAAUCAACUGCAGCUUGCAUUCGGGUUAUUCUAUAUAAAGGCACUCGCAAAGGAAGAAGAAAGAGUCAAAGCAGAAGGUUCUUCAAAGGAUAAGGCUAAUCCGUAAACUCACCCUCACAGCACGAGAUGAAGAUUUUCCUGGUCUACGCUCUUCUUGCCUUCACCCUAGUCACGUGGUCUAGUGACGUCGCAGCCUUUCCACCACAGGGAUCCUGCCAAAUGCAGUGUAACGAGGAGCUUCAAGAAUGUUUUCUAGAAGGGAAAUCAAGCCAACCAAUGAUGGUCUGCCCUGAGGCGUAUCACUUCUGUCGCGUGAUGUGUGGAAAGUAAAAGAGAAGAAGAAGGAGGAAGAUAAGGAAAGAAUAGAUGCAAAAAAGCAUGUUUGACACCAACCAACCAUUGGUCUCUUCUAACCAUGGGUUUUAUCUAUACUUAAUUUGGACCAACCAACCAUUGGUCUCUUCUAACCAUGGGUUUUAUCUAUACUUAAUUUGGACAUAAGCUAUUAUGCAGUACAAUCUAUUUUCUAGAUAAAUAAAUCCAAGCGCUUUUAGCCUUAGCAUAUUACAUCUUGGGCGUGUUCUAUAUUUUUAAGAAUACAUACUAUCUUAGAAAAUAUAACUGUAUAAGAAAAAUGCUAUUGUAAGAGACGUGUUAAAUACGACUGCACUCGGGGAAAUCGUAACCCGAAGUGCUUAAUCCGCGAAUAAGCGCGAAUAAAAACAAACCUAGAGCUUAUGGUUAGCUUGUUUUGAGGCCUGUUUGUAACAUUGACAAAUAUGUAGCCGUAUCUGCCACCGCGUAAAUAUUGCAUUAAAAUAUAUAAAUACGCCUUUUUUUGUAGAAA